rnacentral:rRNA from 1 species
AUUGAACGCUGGCGGCAGGCCUAACACAUGCAAGUCGAACGAGAGGCGGACGGGUGUGUAAUGUCUGGGAAAAUGCCCGAUGGAGGGGGAUAACUACUGGAAACGGUAGCUAAUACCGCGUACCCUCGGAUGUGCCCCGAUGGGGUUAGCUUGUAGGUGGGGGAACGGCUCACCUAGGCGACGAUCCCUAGCUGGUCUGAGAGGAGGACCAGCCACACUGGGACUGAGACACGGCCCAGACUCCUACGGGAGGCAGCAGUGGGGAAUCUUCCGCAAUGGGCGAAAGCCUGACGGAGCAAUGCCGCGUGAGUGAUGAAGGCCUUAGGAUCGUAAAGCACUGUUAGUAGGGAGGCGGUACCUGAACAGAAAGCCACGGCUAACUACGUGCCAGCAGCCGCGGUAAUAC